CCUACGGGAGGCAGCCGUGAGGAAUAUUGGUCAAUGGGCGAGAGCCUGACCCAGCCAAGCCGCGUGAAGGAUGAAGGCUCUAUGGUUUGUAAACUUCUUUUAUAUGGGAAUCAAGUGAGGAACGUGUUCCUUUUUAUAUGUACCAUAUGAAUAAUCAUCGGCUAACUCCGUGCCAGCAGCCGCGGUAAUACGUAGGAUGCGUGCGUUAUCCGGAUUUAUUGGGUUUAAGGGGUGCGUCGGUGGUUAAUUAAGUCAGCGGUGAAAGUUUGUGGCUCAACCAUAAAAUUGCCGAUGAAACUGGUUGACUUGAGUAUAUUUGAGGUAGGCGGAAUGCGUGGUGUAGCGGUGAAAUGCAUAGAUAUCACGCAGAACUCCGAUUGCGAAGGCGGCUUACUAAACUAUAACUGACACUGAAGCACGAAAGCGUGGGGAUCAAACAGGAUUAGAUACCCUGGUAGUC
rnacentral:rRNA from 1 species